AUUCUGCACUCUGGACUCCUACGGACCAAGAUGAUCAACUCUGAGGAAGAAAGGCAAUGAGGACCUUGCACAGGAGAGUCCCUGAUACCCAGAGUUUACUGCCUAAGAGAGGAUACAUCCUUCAAACCAAUAAUCUGCUAAUAGCAAGAUCCAAUAGCUUCACGGAUAUUGAAAGAAACUGAGAAUCAAAUUUGCAUACUUCUGAGUCACUUGGAAACAAAAAACAAGUACAGUCUUAGAUUCUGAGGGAACAAAAAUUAAAAAUCACAUUAGGGAGAGAAUUCCUAAUGUAGGAACUCAUCCUGGAAGAUUCUUCAGCAAAAGUACAGACAAUAAUAAUAAUACUCCAUGAAGUUACCAUCGAUAUUGAAUGAAUUAAUGAAUGUAAAAACCUCAAAACCCUGCCUGGCCCAGAGCUUUGGAAUGGGUUUGGAUCUACCACUCAACCACUUUAUGACUUCAGACCAGUUAUUUAAAUUCCCUGAAGCUCAGUUUCCACAUCUUUGAGUUUUUAUUAAUGACCUGCCGACAUCAUACAGUUCAUGAAAUGCUCUGGAUGCGUACAUGCUGAUGAUACGACCUCAGACCCAGCAAGAGCUCAGUGCAGCCCGGAGAGCUGUGAGCAGUGCCACAGGAGGAGAUGACUGGUAAGUGAAAUAAGCAAGAUAGGAGUUGAAGUGUACAUGAAGCAGAGUCCAAGCCUUCUCCUUCUGGAUGUUCAGCUGGAUCAUCCUGACUGCUCCCACUUUCAUCUUGGCUUUCAAAGGCAAGAGGAAAUUAUAAGGAAUAUUCUGAGUGGCUUUCAUCCAGGAGUUCUGUGGGACCCGCAACACCUGGAUGGUAGAUGCAAACAGAUAAAGAAUAUUGGUCACCAAAAGGAGUUCUUUUCAUCAUAGGUCUCUGAAGGUAGACACCUAUUUUCAGACUUCUCAAAGGGCUAUAUGGAUGUGCUCUACUUGUUGGAGGAUGGUCCAUCCACUCUUCUUCCUGUACUUACCAGGACAGAACAGCCGCAACUUCUCAGACAGUUCAUUCUUCUUUUCCUCAUCUACUACCAUCUAAGAAAGGUACUUGAUGACUGUGGCUUUAGACAAGAGUCCUUUUCUUACCACAGGGUGGGCAGCACCAGCUCAUUAGAACCAUUUGUGUGACUGACUGAAGACAGCUCACCUUGGAACACUGCAGAAUAUGGCGUAAGUGACAUUGUACAAGUUCCAGAGCCUGGGACUCAAGAUGUCUUGGAGAUUCUGUCUUUGCAGUCUUAUAAUGAUGCCCUGAGAUCAUCAUUAAAGAAAGCCAGUCUGGCCUACUGAGGAUGAGAAGCUACAUAAAGGAGAAUGAAGAUUCCCCAGCCAACAGGCAAUAUCAAUAGUCAGAUAUGUGAAUAAAGCCAUGUUGAACCUCCCAGCUAGAUGACCCUCCAGCAUAUGAAACCAGCAGAUGAAUAUCCCAGCCUGCCUGAAGAACUGUACAGGAAAUAAGAAAUCAUUGUUUUUUAAGCCACUGGGUUGGUGGGUGGUUUGUUACACUGAAAUUGUUAACUAAAAGAGAAAUUGGUGCAUAGAGGUCAGGUGCUGUCAUAAUAAAAAUCUAAAACAUGUACUGUUGGCUUUGGUGAUGGGAGUGAUUGGUAGCUAAAGAGGCAGUGAAACAAUGAUUAGUAGAUACUGGGAAGUUAAUAAGGAAAUUUCUAUUGGAGGGUGGAGAAAGGGCCACCCUUGUUAUAUAGUGGCCAAAGAAUCAGCAAAAUGUUGCCUGCUGCAACCUGGAAAGUAGAAACUUUUUUUAAACUCACGGAUCUGGCUGGGAGAUUUCCAGGAUGCAUGCAACAAAUGUGAAUCAACUUUGUAUAGCUGUGUAUAAUAAAGUGUACUGUAUUUGUCCAUUCUGAUGCUGCUAAUAAAGACAUACCUGAGACUG
rnacentral:lncRNA from 1 species